rnacentral:ncRNA from 1 species
GGAACUUGUACUCGUUGCGGAGCAACGAUAUUAAAAGA